rnacentral:rRNA from 1 species
UACGGGGGGGGCAAGCGUUGUUCGGAAUUACUGGGCGUAAAGGGCUCGUAGGUGGCCAACUAAGUCAUACGUGAAAUCCCUCAGCUUAACUGGGGAACUGCGCCUGAUACUGGAUGGCUUGAGUUUGGGAGAGGGAUGCGGAAUUCCAGGUGUAGCGGUGAAAUGCGUAGAUAUCUGGAGGAACACCGGUGGCGAAGGCGGCAUCCUGGACCAAUACUGACACUGAGGAGCGAAAGCCAGGGGAGCAAACGGG